rnacentral:lncRNA from 1 species
GGUGUUAUCAAUAGGAGUCCAGGCUUUUUCCAAACACACACAAGCUCCCUCUUCCUCAAAACCAUAAAAAAAAUUCGUUCACAAGUUUAGUCAACUAAUAUUGUGUGCCUUUUGUACACAAGGUCCUUUGGGUGCAAACAUGAACAAAACGGGCUCACACUGUUUCAGCCCUCACGGGGCUUAGUCUAGUCUGGGAAGACAGACUAAUUUGAAACAUAAUUGGGAAGCGCUGUGAUGAGGAAGGCACAGGGAGCUUUGGAAGCAGAUUAGUCUCCUACCUUAGGCCUGGCAGUGUCUGGACUCCUUCCUGAUAGUGUGCUAUCUACACUGAGACCUGCAGAAUGAGGAGGAGCUAGCCAUAGAAAGAUGGGGAAAAGAGAGAAAGGGUUGAGGUGAGUGACAGGUGUGCUGGGCAAAGGAAACAGCAUCUGUGUAGCAGAAUGUUAUGUAUCUGGAACCCUGGAAUUGUCAAUUAUGACCUCAAACUGAGGACAAACAGGAGCAUUCACAUAACUAUGAAGCAGGACUAAUCACCAAUCCCACCAUGGGCAGGACAGCAGAGAUCAUCACUAUGCUAACUGCCAGGAAUAGGAAUCCACACACUUCCGCCCACUGCAUCCUGACCUGAAGUGCUACCAGUGUCUGUUGGAGACACGCUCACAUGCAACAAGUUUGGUUAGCAGGACAUUUCCAGGGUAUCACAGUAUACUGAAAUAUUACAAGAAAGGUCCAUAAAUGCUGUACAUCCUCCAAUCUGUAAAUUGUUCAGCAACAGGAAGACAGUGAAAGAUAGACGGCAACUCACCAAGAAGAAUAUGUCAGUGAUUUCCCCUAAGAUGUGAUUGUUCCACAGAAGCAUUCUUCAGGGGAGUGGGUCUGUGCAGGCAGUAAGUGGGAAGAUCUUCACUUAGUGUGCCGUCCUUCCUCAGCUUCAAGAGAAUCCACUUGAAGGAGAAGUCCCAUAUAUUAUGUCCAAUGCUGUGAAGCAUCUUUUGGUGCCUUCAUUUCAUCCAACACCAAAAUCCUCAAUGGUGAAGAAAUCUAUAAAUGUAGUAUUGACCUUGAGAAAAAGUUGAGCACAACUGCACCCUCAUGCAGCACUGGAGAAACCUACACAUGUAAAGAAGGACAGUUUUCAUUUGACUCUCAGAGCUGAUUGUAUAUUGGCAAACAUAUUUUUCUGCCAUUGCUUAGGGAUAAGAAAUCUAACAGAAACAUCAAAUAAAAUACUGAAGAGAGAAAAAAACCACUUUUUUUUUUAAGGCCUUCUAGAAGGGGCAAUUGAGCAUACUCCACAUAUGUUGGCUAGUUUACCAGGAAAAAAUAAAAGGAGCCAAUUUGAGCAGUGGACUCUAGGUGACAGUUCUGUUUGGGCUGAUGAAAUCGAUCAGCCAUGAAUACUCUGUCAAUG